CACACACAACCCCCCCGCCCGGACAAUCAUGGCUGCUCCUGUGCAAUCUGCGGGUCGGGCUUUGCCGCCUGGCGGGCUCGGGCGCGUUUCUCUUGCGGGCCUCGAUCGGGGCUCCGCGAGCGCCACCGCCCGUCCUGCUCCCGAGCCUCCUUCGGGAGGAGUUUUUAACCCCUUGGCACCUGUUCUGUUACCUUGGCAUGGGAGGAGGAAAAUGCCCUCUUGGAGAUUUAUGCCCAGCAGGACGAGAGUCAGAAAUCAGCUGGAAACCAGUAAAAGACCAGUAAAAGGUCCCCUGAGCCCACCCCGUGUCACGAGCACCUUGCUAUGAUCAUGAGAAACAGCCCUUGCCUUGGACACCUCAUCUGGAACAGACAGAAAGGAGGAAAAGCCAAGCACAAAGCACAGAAAUCCUUCCAUCUUAGACAAGAGGCCUAGGAGGAGCCCAAAAAGCCGUGUAAGGUGUUCCUGCAGCUCCAGCUGCACCUGAAACCACCCGCAGCAGCUCCGAGGGAGCAGAGCCCUGAUACGAUCCCUUGUGGGAUCCUCACCCAGCCACUGCCCUGUCCUCAGAAAAAAAGGGAAGUGCCUGAUGCCAGCUCAGGCAAAGGAACAGUAGAAAACGUUGAAUAUUUCUUUUUGCCUUCAUUGGUGAAGAUAAAAAUUGUCCUCUUAAGCUGCUGUGCUGUCACAGCAGGGCUGUUGGUGGGGCUGAGGGAGAAGUGGUCCACAGGAACUUCAACCAAAUGGUGCAAAAUGAUUUGCAGAGCACUGCACUUUUCAGUUCUGUUCCUGUACAUCCUUGGCAUAUAAACAAACAAAUAAACAAAUAAAUAAAUGCUGUAAAUCAGAUCAAAAGGCAAGGCUGGUGGAUCUUGCUUGGGAAUGUCUGGGGUCCAUGGACAUCAUUUUUUCCCUCUUCUCUGCGAGUGCUGAAGAGAGAUGGUUGAGGUAGUGAAGGAAAACAUCAAGAAGAGAAAAAUAAAUCAGCAGCUGUUCUCUCUGCUUCCAGAGCAGGCACUUAAAACUGUUUGUGGAUGCUGGCAUGUGCGUGAACAACCAGGAGGUUGGAACUUUCCUGCUUCAAAGCCAUCAAAGUCCCUGCAGAAAGGUGCCCUCUCUGAACACAGCCUCAGCAGGGCUGUUUUCCUGCCUGCAGACACAUCCCUGCAGUGACUCCACGGGAACUAUCCCUGCUUUACCCCAGCCUGGAUAAGACCAGAGGCAGCUCCAUGUCCCUUAGACUGGCCACCCUCUUCUUCCUCAAAGUGCUCCCUUUGCCACAAGUAGCCUUGAAAAGCUUGGCGUGUCCCAUCGUACAGUUGCUUGGAGUAGAACCUUCUCAGCAGAGAGGAAACCCGUCCCAGCAGCCCCCAGCAUCACCAGUUUGGCAUUCUUUAUGUUGCACCUGUUCAAGCGUUACAUCAAGGGGCUGGAAGGCAGACGGCUCCCUGAGACGCCGCCUGCUGGGUCGCUGUCUUCCUUUUAUUACAUUCCUUUGAGAGCCACAGGGGCAGACAAUACGGUCACCACAUUGCUGGAAAUUCACUCAGCCUUAGCUCACUUUUCUAGGAGGGUUUCCCCUCCUCUCCCCCUUUCUUUUUUUGUUCUUCUUUUAUCUAUUGUGUUAUGAACUUGUUUAAAAGAAAAGGGGGGGAAAAAAAUCUGGCUGGUUGCCUUUGUAACCUGGAGGAGAUCCUUCUGGUUUAAGAUUGUCUCAGACUAGAGGACAAAAUGCUAAACAUCCACCGUCCCCUGACGGCCUUGGUUCCAGUUGGCCAUGCCUGCAGACACUUGGACUUGAGCUGCAAAUUUGCCUUUAGGGGAUUAAGUUCCAAUUUACAUAACUGAUCCCUGCAGUGAGGAAAGGCCAGAGAGGAAAGGGCAAGGAAGGCAGUUUCUUAAGAAAAAUUGGGGUUGGGGGGAAAGUUACAACUGAGACGUGGAGAUACUCAAUUUAUAUUGUUCACUAGUUCUUUUAUCAGUGUUUUUCAAAUGUGGCCAUAUGUAGGGAGCAGGCAGAACUAAAGUGGUAUGUAAGGACUCAUGGGAACCACUAUCCUGGUGUAUCUUGGCCAUAACUGCAGAGCUAAGUUGCAGAAGUUGUUGCUAAACUUAGUAAUUUGCUAUUAUAUCUAGAAAAUUGUGGAUAAGGGAACUGGCUCCUGCACAGGCUCAUCCCUGCUCAGCAGAGCUGUUGGUCUUAUCUCUGCAGAGUCUUUGCUACAGAUGAUAUUUCCUUUUGGGGGGGAUCCUUUGCAUUUACUUAAUUAGUAUUUUAAAAUAACAUCAUUUAGUUAUCAUCUAAGUGCCUGACAAUUAAAUUCUUGAGUUAUAAUAAAUAAAAUAUUUUUACUGA